rfam:Blautia sp. CAG:257 genomic scaffold, scf41
AAAUAAAGCAGACGGGAGCUUGUAUGACAGGCUGAGAGGAAGGUAUGACCUUCGACCGAUAACCUGAUUUGGAUAAUGCCAACGUAGGGAUGCCUGAGCAUAAGUGU